UUUUUUUCUGCUAUCGGUUCUUAUAAGAUAUUGAGUAUAGUUCCCCAUGCUAUACAGUGGGUCCUUAUUGUUUAUCUACCUUAUAUAUAGUCGUGUGUAUCUGUUAAUCCAAAAUUCUCAGUUUUCCCCUCCCCCCUUUCCCCUUUGGUGACCACAAGAUUGUUUUCUAUGUCUGUGAGUCUGUUUCUCUUUUGUAAAUAAGUUCAUUUGCAACAUUUUUCAUAUUCCACAUAUAGGUGAGAUCACAUGCUAUUUGUCUUUCGCUGACUUCACUGAGUGUGAUAAUCUCUAGGUCCAUCCAUGUUGCUUCCAUGGCAUUAUUUCAUUCUUUUUUAUGGCUGAGUAAUAGUCCAUUAUAUAUCCUGGUCAAAAUGAACAUAAUGUAGCAGAAAUUUAAGGAUAAGCUUAUCCUUAGCAUAAACUUAAGGAUACUGGGCUACCUUGUAGAUUGCAAGGAGGCUGCAGACCUUUAGAAAUGGGCAUAUGGAUAUAACCAAGACUUGAACGCUGUCAGCACCUCUGGGCUUCAGCUCUGCUUUCUCCUGAUAUCGCUCUGUCCCUCUCAUGUUUCUCUCUCUCCCUCCUACUCUCUCAUUUUCCUAAUGGUACCUCUAUAACUCUCUUCCAGGUAUCAGAAAACACCACUGACAUGGUGCUUAAAAUUUAAAUAUGACCCCUUGAACUCCUGAAAAAGCUCUACUUCUCCUUCUCUGCUCCAGUUCCAAAAUGCCCUAGAGAAGAAUUGUCAUUUACUCACUUCGGCCGGGUGUUCACUUCUGGACCACAGCAGGGGAAGGAUGGCUCAGAGAAGGAACUGAAACGGUCCCAUCUCAGGAGCAGUGCCCUUCCCAGAACCAAGCAACUGUGGCCAGCGGUUGAAGGCAGGAACACCAAGCUUGUAAAGCAGUCAUGUGGGGUGGGGGGAGGUUAGCAAUCCCCAGAAGAAAGGAUACACUGGGCAGAAAAGCAAGAGGUUUCAAGCUGGAGAAGGAGUAGCUACAGGUAAGCCUGCAAGGUAGGUAGACUUCAGUGAGAUAAGCUUAGGCUUCUCCAGUGGAUGACUCAGGGGACAGGGCUGGGGCACCCGGAGAAAGGGUGUGGUGAUCAGACUUCUGUUUUGAAGAGAUCACCAUUGCUCUGCUGUGAAGGGGGAGUAUGCGAAAAGCAGACCAUGGCAGAGAGAGCAAUUAGAAGAUGACUGCUCUUGCCCAGGCAAGAAUUUACUUAAUCUAUGUCAUCUCAUCUUGCGGAUGUAACGUUGUGUUUCAUCUUUUUCUUUGUACUGGCUUCCUCACACUAAGCCUCUGCUUUUCCUUCCCCUUGUUAGUUUGCAAAUGCUCACUCUGCUAGUGGUUAUCCUCCUUCACUGAUGGUUAUCUUCCUUCGCCCAAAGGUCAGAAGCAAACUCACUUUUCCCCUCUGAUUUAUAGCGAACAAGAAGCGAGCUACUUCUACGCAGCAAGGGCUUGUAAUCCCCUGUUGUUGCCUCCCUUGAUAAGAUGAGACCUUUAGAAAGUCAUUACUGCUCAACUUUUCCCCUUGACCUUCAGAAGGCUCUCUUCCAAAGGCUUCUUAUUAUGUCUUAGUAGAGCUUAUUGUACCCCAUUUUAAUACAGAAGAAGCAUAGUGUCAGGUUUAAGAAUAUCGAAUAGGAGGAAGAAGAAUGAAUUGGAAUAGACAAGACUGGAAAAGCACCAGAGUCCAGGGAAUCACCAUGAAGGCCUGGAACUCAACGAUGAGCUGGAAGGAAAAAAGAGAUUACACUUGAGCAAAUAGGAGGCUCCAGAACAGAGCAGUAUGAGAAGGGAAAGGAGAGGCGAGACAAAAAUGCAUUUCCUUUUGCUCAUUAGGCUCUUUUUCUUUGUUGAACUGUGUUUGUACUAAAACCAGUCCAUCUGGGGUCCCAGAUAUAUAGAGGUGAUUAUUUGCUAAAUCUCUUUGUGAAAGUUAUUAUUUUGAAAAUCUAUUGAAACAUUUUUGGAUUUUUAAAAUUGAAAUAGAGAUACAGGAAAAGACUACUAAGUGAACAGCUUGAUGAAUUUUCACAGACUGAACAGAACAUAUCUGUGUAGCCAGAACGCAAAUCCAAAAGUAAGAUAUUACUGGUGUUCCGUUGUGGCUUGGCAGGUUUCGAACCCGACUGGUAUCCAUGAGGAGGCAGAUCUGAUCCCUGGCCUUGUUCAGUGGGUUAAGGAUCUGGGGUUGCUGCGAGCUGUGGAAUAGGUCACAGAUACGGCUCAGAUCCAGUGCUUCUGUGGCUGUGGUGCAGGCCGGCAGCUGCAGCCCCAGGUCUACCUCUAGCCUGGGAACCUCCAUGUGCGGCAGGUGCAGCCCCCCAAAACCCCCACAAAAGAAAAAUAUUACAUACACCUAGGAAGGCCCUCUUGUGCUCCCUUUUGGCCACUACUAACAAAGAAGAUAAGCUUUUGCUUCUAAAAAAAUUGGGUUUUGCAUGUUUUUGUGCUCGUGUUUAUAAAGAGGCUCACAUGGGGUACAUUCUCUCUUGGGGGAACUCCUUUGGUUCAACAUUAUACAUGUGAUAUUCAUCCAUGUGGUAGCAAGAAGUGGUAGAUCAUUCAUUCUUAGUGAUACGUACAAUUCCAUUAGGCACAUAUACUGCAAUUGAUCUAUUCUCCUGUGUAAGGGCAUUUGGAUAGUUCCCAGUUUAGGGUUACUAUGAAUAGUGCUGCUAAGACCUACCCACUUAAUAUGUAAACUAGUACUGAGUUUCUUAGUCCCUAAACUGUUCAUUUAUUUGACAUCAAGGAGUAGAUCCAAGUGGGUUUUUUUUUUGAGGGGGGGGUUGUUAUUGUUUUUGUUUUAGGCUGUGCCCGAGGGAUGCAGAAGUUCCCAAGCCAGGGAGUGAACCCAAACCACAGCAGUGACAACGGAUCCUUAACCUGCUGAGCCACCAGGGAACUCUUAAAGUUUUCAACCAGGCAUGCAUUUAACCUACCUCAUCUUAGUCAGAGGACUGUGAAGGACUAUGCCGCAUGAGAUGGGGUGGGGGAGGGGGUCCAGAGAAAGGGAGACAAUAAAAAAUAAUAAUAAUAUCGUGAAAGAAAUAAUAUGUUGCCUCUGGUCAAAUGGAACUCAUUUGCAAGGCAAGAUCCCAAAACCAUACAGCACCUUAAUCUUCUUGGGAUACUCUGCCUCCUUAAAUUCACCCUC
rnacentral:lncRNA from 1 species